GAUGAACGCUGGCGGCGUGCCUAAUACAUGCAAGUCGAGCGAACGGACGAGAAGCUUGCUUCUCUGAUGUUAGCGGCGGACGGGUGAGUAACACGUGGAUAACCUACCUAUAAGACUGGGAUAACUUCGGGAAACCGGAGCUAAUACCGGAUAAUAUUUUGAACCGCAUGGUUCAAAAGUGGAAGACGGUCUUGCUGUCACUUAUAGAUGGAUACGCGCUGCAUUAGCUAGUUGGUAAGGUAACGGCUUACCAAGGCAACGAUGCAUAGCCGACCUGAGAGGGUGAUCGGCCACACUGGAACUGAGACACGGUCCAGACUCCUACGGGAGGCAGCAGUAGGGAAUCUUCCGCAAUGGGCGAAAGCCUGACGGAGCAACGCCGCGUGAGUGAUGAAGGUCUUCGGAUCGUAAAACUCUGUUAUUAGGGAAGAACAUAUGUGUAAGUAACUGUGCACAUCUUGACGGUACCUAAUCAGAAAGCCACGGCUAACUACGUG
rnacentral:rRNA from 1 species